GCUUACGGCCAUACCAGCCUGNNUACGCCCGAUCUCGUCCGAUCUCGGAAGCUAAGCAGGGUCGGGCCUGGUUAGUACUUGGAUGGGAGACCGCCUGGGAAUACCACGUGCUGUAAGCCU
rnacentral:rRNA from 1 species